rnacentral:rRNA from 1 species
CAUCCUCCAAGGCUAAAUACUCCUGACUGACCGAUAGUGAACCAGUACCGUGAGGGAAAGGCGAAAAGAACCCCGGCGAGGGGAGUGAAAAAGAACCUGAAACCGUGUACGUACAAGCAGUGGGAGCACAGGUUUACCUGUGUGACUGCGUACCUUUUGUAUAAUGGGUCAGCGACUUAUAUUCUGUAGCAAGGUUAACCGUAUAGGGGAGCCGGAGGGAAACCGAGUCUUAAUUGGGCGUUAAGUUGCAGGGUAUAGACCCGAAACCCGGUGAUCUAGCCAUGGGCAGGUUGAAGGUUGGGUAACACUAACUGGAGGACCGAACCGACUAAUGUUGAAAAAUUAGCGGAUGACCUGUGGCUGGGGGUGAAAGGCCAAUCAAACCGGGAGAUAGCUGGUUCUCCCCGAAAGCUAUUUAGGUAGCGCCUCGUGAAUUCAUCUCCGGGGGUAGAGCACUGUUUCGGCUAGGGGGCCAUCCCGGCUUACCAACCCGAUGCAAACUGCGAAUACCGGAGAAUGUUAUCACGGGAGACACACGGCGGGUGCUAACGUCCGUCGUGAAGAGGGAAACAACCCAGACCGCCAGCUAAGGUCCCAAAGUCAUGGUUAAGUGGGAAACGAUGUGGGAAGGCCCAGACAGCCAGGAUGUUGGCUUAGAAGCAGCCAUCAUUUAAAGAAAGCGUAAUAGCUCACUGGUCGAGUCGGCCUGCGCGGAAGAUGUAACGGGGCUAAACCAUGCACCGAAGCUGCGGCAGCGAACGUAUCACCCAAGACAACUUUACGGAGUUGACGAUUGACGGAGCGAAGCGACGUCAAAGCGUUCAUUAAAGUCGAGUUGGCUUAGGGAUACGUUCGUUGGGUAGGGGAGCGUUCUGUAAGCCUGUGAAGGUGUGUCGUGAGGCAUGCUGGAGGUAUCAGAAGUGCGAAUGCUGACAUAAGUAACGAUAAAGCGGGUGAAAAGCCCGCUCGCCGGAAGACCAAGGGUUCCUGUCCAACGUUAAUCGGGGCAGGGUGAGUCGACCCCUAAGGC